UGCACGUACGGCGGAGCCGUGACGCCCGUGCUGGGCUCCAACUCCUUCCAGGUCCCGGACGCCAUCCCGGAGAGCUCCUUCACCAACCCGGUCCGGAUCAGCUUCGGCUUCACGUGGCCGGGGACCUUCUCGCUGAUCAUUGAAGCGUUCCACACCGAGUCC